rnacentral:rRNA from 1 species
UACGUAGGGACCGAGCGUUGUCCGGAAUCAUUGGGCGUAAAGAGCGUGUAGGCGGCCACUUAAGUCUUCGUGAAAUCUUGCGGCUCAACCGCAAGCGGUCGUGGGAAACUGGGUGGCUAGAGUGCGGGAGAGGAGAGUGGAAUCCUGGUGUAGCGGUGGAAUGCGCAGAUAUCAGGAAGAACACCCGUGGCGAAGGCGGCUCUCUGGAACGCAACUGACGCUGAGACGCGAAAGCGUGGGGAGCAAACAGG